UACGUAGGUGACAAGCGUUGUCCGGAUUUAUUGGGCGUAAAGCGAGCGCAUGUCGGGUCCGGUAAGUCUGAUGUGAAAGCCCACGGCUCAACCGUGGAACGGCAUUGGAAACUGGCGGACUUGAAUGUAGCAGAGGAAAGUGGAAUUCCAUGUGUAGCGGUGGAAUGCGUAGAUAUAUGGAGGAACACCAGUGGCGAAAGCGACUUUCUGGGCUAUGAUUGACGCUGAGGCUCGAAAGCGUGGGGAGCGAAUAGGAUUAGAUACCCUGGUAGUCCACGCCGUAAACGAUGAGUGCUAAGUGUUGGAGGGUUUCCGCCCUUCAGUGCUGGAGUUAACGCAUUAAGCACUCCGCCUGGGGAUUACGACCGCAAGGUUGAAACUCAAAAGAAUUGACGGGACCCGCACAAGCGGUGGAGCAUGUGGUUUAAUUCGAAGCAACGCGAAGAACCUUACCAGCUCUUGACAUCUUCUGCCACCUUCAGAGAUGAAGGGUUCCCUUCGGGGRCAGAAUGACAGGKGGUGCAUGGUUGUCGUCAGCUCGUGUCGUGAGAUGUUGGGUUAAGUCCCGUAACGAGCGCAUCCCUUAUUGUUAGUUGCCAGCAUUGAGUUGGGCACUCUAGCAAGACUGCCGGUGAUAAACCGGAGGAAGGCGGGGAUGACGUCAAAUCAUCAUGCCCCUUAUGAGCUGGGCUACACACGUGCUACAAUGGAUGGUACAACGAGUGGCGAGACCGCGAGGUUUAGCUAAUCUCCCAAAGCCAUUCUCAGUUCGGAUUGCAGGCUGCAACUCGCCUGCAUGAAGUCGAAAUCGCUAGUAAUCGCGGAUCAGAAUGCCGCGGUGAAUUCGUUCCCGGGUCU
rnacentral:rRNA from 1 species